UAAGUCCUACGGGGGGCAGCAGUGGGGAAUAUUGCACAAUGGGGGAAACCCUGAUGCAGCGACGCCGCGUGAGUGAAGAAGUAAUUCGUUAUGUAAAGCUCUAUCAGCAGGGAAGAAACAGACGGUACCUGAGUAAGAAGCCCCGGCUAACUACGUGCCAGCAGCCGCGGUAAUACGUAGGGGGCAAGCGUUAUCCGGAUUUACUGGGUGUAAAGGGAGCGUAGACGGCGAAGAAAGUCUGAAGUGAAAGCCC
rnacentral:rRNA from 1 species